rnacentral:rRNA from 1 species
UGAUCCUGGCUCAGAUUGAACGCUGGCGGCAGGCUUAACACAUGCAAGUCGAGCGGAGAGAGGUAGCUUGCUACUGAUCUUAGCGGCGGACGGGUGAGUAAUACUUAGGAAUCUGGCUAUUAGUGGGGGACAACAUUUCGAAAGGGAUGCUAAUACCGCAUACGUCCUACGGGAGAAAGCAGGGGAUCUUCGGACCUUGCGCUAAUAGAUGAGCCUAAGUCGGAUUAGCUAGUUGGUGGGGUAAAGGCCUACCAAGGCGACGAUCUGUAGCGGGUCUGAGAGGAUGAUCCGCCACACUGGGACUGAGACACGGCCCAGACUCCUACGGGAGGCAGCAGUGGGGAAUAUUGGACAAUGGGGGGAACCCUGAUCCAGCCAUGCCGCGUGUGUGAAGAAGGCCUUAUGGUUGUAAAGCACUUUAAGCGAGGAGGAGGGUACUGGUAUUAAUACUACCAGGUACUGGACGUUACUCGCAGAAUAAGCACCGGCUAACUCUGUGCCAGCAGCCGCGGUAAUACAGAGGGUGCGAGCGUUAAUCGGAUUUACUGGGCGUAAAGCGUGCGUAGGCGGCUAAUUGAGUCGGAUGUGAAAUCCCCGAGCUUAACUUGGGAAUUGCAUUCGAUACUGGUUAGCUAGAGUGUGGGAGAGGAUGGUAGAAUUCCAGGUGUAGCGGUGAAAUGCGUAGAGAUCUGGAGGAAUACCGAUGGUGAAGGCAGCCAUCUGGCCUAACACUGACGCUGAGGUACGAAAGCAUGGGGAGCAAACAGGAUUAGAUACC